UGACCUCAGAUCAGGCAAGGCUACCCGCUGAAUUUAAGCAUAUUAAUAAGCGGAGGAAAAGAAACUAACAAGGAUUCCCCUAGUAAUGGCGAAUGAAGCGGGAACAGCUCAAAUUUAAAAUCUCCGUUGCUUGCAACGGCGAAUUGUAGUUUCGAGAAGCACUUUCUCGGCGGAUCCGAGGUCGUCCAAGUUGCUUGGAACAGCACGUCGUAGAGGGUGACAACCCCGUCUGCGGCGACCUCGGCCGUUCACGAUGUGCUUUCGAUGAGUCGGGUUGUUUGGGAAUGCAGCCCAAAAUGGGCGGUAAACUCCAUCUAAAGCUAAAUAUUGGCACGAGACCGAUAGCGAACAAGUACCGUGAGGGAAAGAUGAAAAGCACUUUGAAAAGAGAGUUAAAAAGUACGUGAAACCGUUAAAAGGGAAACGAAUGGGGUUAGCAAUGCGUCGUGCGAGAUUCAGCCGGUGGGUGGGCCAGGCGGGCGGUUGGCGGAUCUGAAUGGACCGCUGCCGUUCGGGUUGGUUUCCCGACCGUCGCACUUCUCGCAGGCGCGCGCCAACGUCGGUUAGGGCUGGGUUUCAAAGGCGGUGGAAAGGUAGGUUUGGACUCUCGUUCCCGAACUGUUACAGUCCUCCGUUUGUCAUGGCCCGGACCUGACCGAGGAGCUUGCGGUGCAUGCCGUUCAACUAGGGUCCCGUCUUCCCGGUCGGUCGUCGAAUGCGGUGGACUGCAUGCAGUGCGCCGCGACUGCUGCCGGUCGCGAGGGCGGUGAUUUCGUACUAUGCACCCACGACGUUGGCGAUCAUAUGGCCUCAUCCGACCCGUCUUGAAACACGGACCAAGGAGUCUAACAUGUGUGCGAGUCUUUGAGUGAUCGAAACUCCGAGGCGAAAUGAAAGUGAAGGCGACUUCGGUCGCUGAGGUGAGAGCCUUUUACAAAAAAGGCGCAUCAUUGACCGACCUAUUCUACUCUUAGAAAGGUUUGAGUAAGAGCGCAUCUGUUGGGACCCGAAAGAUGGUGAACUAUGCCUGAAUAGGGUGAAGCCAGAGGAAACUCUGGUGGAGGCUCGUAGCGAUUCUGACGUGCAAAUCGAUCGUCAAAUUUGGGU
rnacentral:ncRNA from 1 species